rnacentral:rRNA from 1 species
UGGGGAAUAUUGGACAAUGGGGGCAACCCUGAUCCAGCCAUGCCGCGUGAGUGAUGAAGGCCUUCGGGUUGUAAAGCUCUUUUGGCGGGGACGAUGAUGACGGUACCCGCAGAAUAAGCCCCGGCUAACUUCGUGCCAGCAGCCGCGGUAAGACGAAGGGGGCUAGCGUUGUUCGGAAUUACUGGGCGUAAAGCGAGUGUAGGCGGUUGCCGUAGUCAGGUGUGAAAGCCUUGAGCUCAACUCAAGAAAUGCACUUGAUACUGGGUGACUAGAGGACCGGAGAGGAUAGUGGAAUUCCCAGUGUAGUGGUGAAAUACGUAGAGAUUGGGAAGAACACCAGUGGCGAAGGCGGCUAUCUGGACGGUUACUGACGCUAAGACUCGAAAGCGUGGGGAGCAAAACAGGAUUUAGAUACCCCUGGUAGUCCACGCCGUAAAACGAUGGGUGCUAGACGUUGGCGAGCUU